rnacentral:tRNA from 1 species
GCCUGGGUGGCUCAGCUGGUUGAGCGUCUGACUUCAGCUCAGGUCAUGAUCUCGUGGUCUUUGAGUUCGAGCCCCGCCUCGGGCU